GACUUACACUUGUCAUUUAGAUCAGAGGGUGUCAAACUUUUGAGUUCGUGACCCCAGAAAAAGCAGAGUCAGAGAUUGGUGACUGAAACAGCUCCCUCUCUCUCUCUCUCUCUCUCUCUCUCUCUCUCUCUCUCUCUCUCUCUCUCUCUCUCUCUCUCUCUCCCUCUCUCUCUCUCUCUCUCUCUCUCUCUCUCUCUCUCUCUCCAGACUAAUUGUGUACAACUGAGCCAACACUUGAUAAAACCACUUAAAGGAGUCAGAAAAACACUCAAAAACCUGCUGAAGAUGAUGGGAGUUUGAUCCAAAAAGGUUAAUCCUGUGUUUCAGAUGCAAACCGAGGAAGCCUGAGCAGAAUCUCGAUUUAGUUAACUCGCUCUCCUCUGCUUUUUACACGUUUCUGACGCAAGAGAGCUGCUGAGCUGCCAAGAAAAGAAACGUUUUAACAUGCACGAAUGCAAAGUUACCUUCACAGUUAACGCCUGCCCGGUCAAACCCAAACAUGCAUAACAAACAAAAAAAAAAGCAUACAUUUGUGCUUGUGCGGCGCUCACAGUCUCAUGGGUGCCAUCCGUCCUCACCUUAGGAGCCCAUCUGGAAGAGUAUAGGGUGAAAUCCCACCGCCUCUCUGUAAUUCAUCACACCCCCUAAACUGUGGUGCUUGUAGGUCCCAACCCACAGUUCAGUUGUCACAGGAACACUCAUCAUCCUUGUACCUGGACGUUGAUCUCAGAACAGAUUUGUUGUAUAUUUAUACUGGCAUAUGAAAAAAAAAGGAAAAAUAGGAUUUUAAGUGUUAAGUUUUCAACUCUACACAGUCCAGUUCCCUGAUUUUGGAGUCUUCAAGAAAACCAUGACCUGGAUGAAUGAGAAUCUACAUGGACGUUAAGUUUUCAAGUUUUAAGUUUUAUCUGUAAUACCAUGUUCAGGACCGAGGGUUCCAGGCACACUUUGUGAUCAGUGUAAGAAAGCAUAGAUUAAAUUUAUGCUAAUAAUCUGAGUAAGCGCUGUGACGAAAAGUAGGCGUCACUCCAUCUUCAAGUUGGGUUGUUUGCUUUCUCACUGUGGAGUUUGAAGAUAUCAAGUAUAUCUACUGUGAUGAAAAGUAAGAGACAGGGUGGGAUUUUACUUUUUUUGGUAUUGAACAGAAAUUCUACGAACCUUAAAAAAGUUAAAGCUCCUGUGAGGAACUUUCAUUUUGUGUCCCCUAUGAAGAAAGCAGCCUUUACUUACCUUGCUUACCUGAAAAAAACAAAACAUGUAGAAUUUGCGAUUGCAGUAGAGAAAAGUAAGAUAUCAGAAUAAAUGUAAAUUGACAAAAAUAAAGCCUUAUAUUCAAGCAUGAAUAAAUUCUGGAGAAUAAAGUCACUGUUGAAGUCCACGGUGAGCCUUUAUUUUGUUUUGAAGGGGUGACACUGUGGUUUUAAGGGUUUUCCAUAACAGCUGAAACCUAUACAAGCCAAUAUCCCCCUUCAAAAUAAAAUGAACAUCGACCAAAAUUACAGAUUCAUUCCCACAUAAAACCAUUUCUUUCUCUUACAACUUCAUUCUGAUAAGUUUCGACUUUGUUCCUGCAGCAGAUCUAUCACCACUUUGGUCUUAAAAUCUCAAGUAUUAUCAUCUAUAAUUUGGACCUAAUCUUCUGUUGUAGUCUAUAAUUGCUUCAGCAGCAUAUUUCAGCUACUUCUGUAAAUGGUGUCUUAAAUAAUCAUCUCAACAGUGUGAAGUCAAUUAAAUAUUUUGAAGACAACAUUGUUAGUAUAAUCUUCCUGUAUUUCAUCUCACAAACACAGACAGUGUUUUCUUUGCUGUGUCCAGAUCUAUUGUUCUCGUGUCCUCAGGUCGGUCUUCGCCGUCUCUUCUUGUUCUGCUGCGUUCAGCUCUAUUUCAGAUCCAAUCAGAGUCACACUGAGCUCAAGGUCAGGCUCCUUUUAUUACUCAUUAAAGGUUUACUGUCACACAGAGGGACACAAAGUCAUUAAAGUACUACUCUGUGCGUGAAUGUGCGUGUGUGUGUGUGCAAGAAGAAUACAUUAGGUGUGUGAAUAUUCAGAUUACAUCUCUGGGUGCAGUAUACUGGAGCAAAUGGGUCAUUUACACUGUAGUUGGAUGUGUGAUGGUAAGCUUAUUAAGUCAUUGUAAACACCAAUAUAAUAGUAAUUGCCUUUUAUAUUGACUGUAUAUUACGAUAACUAAACAGUUUUCUGGUCCUUCAAUUGGCAGCAGCUUAAUCAGCUACAUCAGAAUACUUCAAUCAAAUGACCGACACACAAGUUUUGUGUUUUCUCUGUUUUAAUCUACUGCAAUUUUUAGAAAUAAUCAUAAUAAUCAAUGAUAUGAGUUAAAUGUGUAGAUCGAGACUCGUCUGACCGUCUGAAUUCAGGGACUAUUUGAGAGCUGUUGUGAAGGCCGUCAUCCAGUUGCGUGUGGGCCAGCAUAAAACUUAUUUUUCUUCUGGAUUCAUGGUCCAAGAAGAAUAAUAUUUGCCAGGAUAAGAUGACCAAAAUACAAAAAUGCAGGGACUAGUUUCAGCAAAACUGCAAGAUGCAAAGAAAACAAGCCGAAGCACAGGGACAGAUAAUACACUGUAUGGUAGACAGACAGGACGAUAACUCGUGUUUUUGCCACAAUGUCAACAGGCCGAAGUGAACUGGACUGGGACUCCUCCUCUCUGAUUGAUAAAUUUGAUAUAACAUGUGGGAUCAGGAUGUCCCUGGCAUUGCUUUUUGCUCUUCAAAGUCAUUGAUCACCAUUGUUUUAGAGUCUUACCUGAGCAGAAUCAGGUUUUGUAGACUGUAUAAAACACAGCUGUGAAUGAUGAAAGAUCAAAGAUGAAGGUUAGCACUUUGGACAAGCCGAAUGACUUUUAUCAAAGAGGGGGAUUUGGAGCCAUAGCUUUGAUUCCUAGAAAACAACAAAAGCAAAACUGUCAGUCAAAUCAGUGAUUCCCUUAAAUACUGAUUUGUAGCCCUUUAAUGAAUGAAUGAAUUAAAUUUAUUCAUUUCGAAUAUGUUCAAAAGAGAAAAUUAAGAGUAAAAAUACAGAAUGAUUUUACUAAGGAAAAAAAAGAACAUACAACAUAUUCAAAAAGGAGUGGGAGGGAGUAAAACUUAUCAAGUCCCGCCCCUUCUCCAUCAGCUAUUCUGUGAAAAUUAUUUCAUAUAUAGUAUAUAUAUAUAGCCAACAUAAUUCUUAAUUUGGUGCGGUACCUUCUGUUUCAUCCCCAUAUCUACUGAAUAUUACAUUUUUAAAAUUUCCUCAUGUCUGAGCAUUGCUUCAGGUCCAGCUGUAACCUGUUCCGUAUAUGAACACCACAUCGUGAAACACAAAAACUUUUCAUAGUUGUGCAAUUUGAUCAGGGAUGAAAUCAGACCAGAUGAAAAAUUCCCAAAGAAUAAUCAGUAUGUUGAAAAAAUAGAGGUAUAGAGACUUAAACCAGUUUGUGAAUCUGUAAACAUGUUUAAUACUGAUGUAGAAACUUUUCAUCAGACACUCGUUGAACUGCAGUCUGCACUCCAGCAGCGACUUCAAAGUUUGACGCCGGUGAUAACAGCAGAAAAAAAAAGCAAACUCUGCCUUUUCUAGUCUGUUCCAGCUUCUUCUUCCUUUAGAAAAUGUAUGAAAAAAUAUUAAAAACCUCCCUCUGUUGGCUCUCCACGGGAACUUUUUCAUGAAAUUAAGAAAAAAUAAGUUCCAGGCUUUCUGACUUAUUUAAUUGGCAUUUAGUGAACUUUUGCUGUAUCCGACUUUAAGACUAUCUGAUCUUCUGUUUUAAGACUCUUGAAGACACUGAAGUUAGAGGAGACAGG